rnacentral:rRNA from 1 species
CCUACGGGAGGCAGCAGUGAGGAAUUUUCCGCAAUGGGCUAACGCCUGACGGAGCAAUGCCGCGUGGAGGAGGAAGGCCUGUGGGUCGUAAACUCCUUUUCUCAGAGAAGAAGAUCUGACGGUAUCUGAGGAAUAAGCAUCGGCUAACUCUGUGCCAGCAGCCGCGGUAAUACAGGGGAUGCAAGCGUUAUCCGGAAUUAUUGGGCGUAAAGCGUCCUGAGGUGGCUUACCCAGUCGACUGUGAAAGCUCAAGGCUCAACCUUGAAACGGCAGUCGAAACUUGUAAGCUUGAGUACGGUAGAGGCAGAGGGAAUUCCCGGAGGAGAGGUGAAAUUCGUAGAUAUCGGGAGAGGGCCAAAGGCGAAAGCACUCUGCUGGGCCGAUUACUGACACUGACAGACGAAAGCUAGGGGAGCGAAAGGGAUUAGAUACCCCUGUAGUCCUAGCCGUAAACGAUGGAUACUAAGUGUUGCGCGACUCAACUCGUGCAGUGCUGCAGCUAACGCGGUAAGUAUCCCGCCUGGGGAGUAUGCUCGCAAGAGUGAAACCUNAAAGGAAUUGACGGCNGAGAGNGACGAGACGACGACGAGGAGAGG